rnacentral:lncRNA from 1 species
UCUGGUGGGCAGGGGUGGGGGUCACAAGGUGCUCAGUGGGGGUGCUUUCUGAGCCAGGAUGAGCCAGGAAAAGGACUUUCACAAGGUAAUGUCAUCAGUUAAGGCAAGGACCGGCCAUUUACACUUCUUUUGUGGUAGAAUGUCAUCAGUUAAGGUGGGGCAGGGCAUAUUCACUUCUUUUGUGAGUCUUCAGUUACUUCAGGCCAUCUGGGCAUAUACGGGCAAGUCACAGGGGAUGCGAUGGCUUGGGUUGGGCUCAGAGGCCUAACAUUCCUGCCUUCUUAUAUUAAUAAGAAAAAUAAAACAAAACAGUGUCGAAGUGUUGGGGUGGCGAAAAUUUUUGGGGGGUGGUAUGGAGAGAGAAUGGGCGAUGUUUUGAUUGGUGAUGGCCUGGAUACGGUUUUGUAUGAACUGAAAAACUAAAUGGAAUAACAGAAGGAGAAAAACAGGUAUAAAAGAUCUAAGAAUUGGGACGACUCAGGAUAUCUGAUUAGAGAGUGCUUAAGGAGAUUUGGCAUAGUCCUGCCAGCAAAGAUUAUUUAUUUACUUCAAGAGUUAAGAGUGGCAGUUUGGGGAUAGCACCAGGAGAUAUCAGCUGUGAUGGCUUGGAAAAACAGUGUAAACCGGCAGUGUAAACAAGAGCAGGGCCUGUAUGAGUAGUUGAGAACGGUGAAUAGGAGUAUGACUGGACAGAAAAUAGUAGCGAUUACAAGUUUUCUUUUGGUGGGGGGGUGCAGUCUAAGUUGGUCUGGUGUCUGGAAUGAGACUGGGGCCUAAUAAAAAGGAGCGUCUAUACAGGAGCUUAAAUGGGCUGUACCUUGUAGCAUUCCGAGGACAGGCCUGAAUUCUGAGAAGCGAAAGUGGUAAAAGUAUUGUCCAGUCCUUUUUAAGUUGGUGGCUGAGCUUGGUGAGGUGUGUUUUUAAAAGACCUUUCGUCCGUUCCACUUUUCUUGAAGACGGAGGACCGUAAGGGAUAUAAAGGUUUCACUGAAUAUUAAAAGCCUGAAAAACUGCUUGGCUGAUUUGACUAAUAAAGGCUGGUCUGUUACCAGACUGUAUAGAGGUGGGAAGGCUAAACUGAGGAAUUAUGUCUGACAGAAGGGAAGAAAUGACUGCGGUGGCCUUCUCAGACCCUGUAGGAAAGGCCUUUACUUAUUCAGUGAAAGUGUCUAUUUAGACUAAGAGGUAUUUUAGUUUCCUGACUUGGGACAUGUUGAGUAAAGCUAAUUUGCCAGUCCUGGGUGGGGGCAAAUCCUCGAGCUUGAUGUGUAGGGAAGGGAGGGGGGCCUGAAUAAUCCCUGAGGAGUAGUAGAAUAGCAAAUGGAACACUGAGAAGUUAUUUCCUUGAGGAUAGGAAAUAUGGGGAAAUGAGGUGAAUAUCAGGUGGAUCAGAGAGAUACAGUCAUGGCGGUCAGGUGUGGUAUCAGGAAUAAUGUGGGAGGCCGGAUUGAAGUCCAGGCCAGGAACAAUGGUAAUUGUGGGACUUAAAGAGUGAGUACAGCUGAAGGAGCCGGGGAGCAGAAAGUAUAUCCAUCAGGUAUGAGGAAGAAAACAGAUUUUGGAAGUUAUGAGAAAUGUAGAGAGUGAGUUGAGCAUAGUUUGUGAUUUUUAGGGCCUCUAACAGUAUUAAAGCAGCAGCAGCCACUGCACACAGACAUGAGGGCUAGGCUAAAACCGUAAGGUCAAGUUGUUUGGACAGAAAGGCUACACGGUGUGGUCCCAGCUCUUGCGUAAGAAUUCUGACUGCGCUAACCAUGCCUAGGAAGGAAAGGAGUUGUUGUUUUGUAGAAGGUGCUGGGGUUGGAGAGAUCAGUUGGACACGAUUGGCAGGGAGAGCACGUGUGUUUUUAUGAGAAUUAUGCUGAGAUAGGUAACAGAUGAGGAAGAAAUUUGGGCUUGAUUGAAGUAAUGGGGGCUGCCUGUGAAGCUUUGUGGCAGUACAGCCUAGGUAAUUUGCUGAGCUAUAGGCUUUAAAAGGCCAUGCUGUAGCAGGCGAGUGAUAACAGGCUUUAAUCUUUUUAAAGUGUGCUGUGGGAUGGGAUAUUGGUGUUGAGUGGGGUAAGGGUGAUUAGGUUUUAAUGAGAUGAUAAGGGGUGCAUGAUCGGUUGCCAAGGAGGGAGUAGAGGUAUCUUAUACUUGUGGGUUAAGGUGGGGGGAUACAAGAGGAGGACGCAAAGGAGGCUUUGGAUUGGGAAGAAGGGCGGCAACGAGAUAUAGCUGUAGUUCAGGAAUAGGGCUUCCGAGGUGAUCGGGCAGUGUCAGUCUUCAGCCGCUAAGCUGAGAAAAUCUGGGAAGGAGUCAGUCAGGCAUUCCUUGGCCCAGUGGCCAGAUUUCCAGCAAGUGUAGCAAGCUCCUGCGGGAGGAGGUUCUGGAGCAACGCCUGGCCGCUGCGGUUCAGGAGUUUGGAAGUUCUUGUGUGCUGGAGAUGUGGCUGGGGGGUUUGUCUCACAGUGGAGGCAAGGAAUUGCAAGUUUUUUCUGUUAUUGUACACCUUGAAGGCGAGGUUAAUUAAAUCCUGUUGUGGGGUUUGAGGGCUGGAAUUUACUAUCUGAUUUGGGAUAAAGAAAAAGGAGCAUUAACCUUGACUAUGCCUUUGGCUCCAGCCACCUUUUUAAGAGUGAAUUGCUGGGCGGAGGGGGAGGGCUAGUCACGGAACGAAACUGUAAGCCGGACCAGGUGUGAGGAGGAGAGGUGAUAAAAGGAUUAUAGGGUGGAGGAGCAGAGGCUGAGGAAGAAUUGGGACCUAGUUCAGCCUGGCGAGGAGGGGAGAGGUCAGAUGGGUCUGUAGAAAAGGAAGAUUAGAAAGACUCAGCGACACUUGGGGUUGGUACUGAGGGAACAGGCGGGAGGGAAAGAAGGAAGAUUUGGGACGAGUUGCACUGGGCACAGAGACUAGGAAGGGACUGAUGUGUAAAAGAAUGCCUGGACGUCAGGCACCUCAGACCGUUUGCCUAUUUUACGACAAGAAUUAUUUAGAUUUUGCAGGAUGGAAAAAUUCAAAGUGCCAUUUUCUGGCUAUUUGGAACUUCUGUCCAGUUUGUAUUGGGGUCAAGCAGCAUUGCAGAAGAAAAUAAGGCAUUUAGGUUUUAGGUCAGGUGUGAGUUGAAGAGGUUUUAAGUUUUUGAGAACACAGGCUAAGGGAGAAGGAGGAGGAAUGGAAGGUGGAAGCUUACCCAUAGUGAAGGAGGCAAGCCCAGAGAAAAGAGUAGAGACACGGAGAAGGGGUGGGGGGUUCUUGCCCUCCAGAAAAGCAGAGAAGGGGUUGGGGCACGGAAAUAAGGGAUUGGGGCACAGAGAUAAGAGGUCAGGGUGUGGAAGUAAGCGAUUGGGGGGUUCUUGCCCCCUAGGAAAGCGGGACUUGCCACUGGGGUGAAGGAGAAGGGGUAGAGACAAGGAGAGAAGGGGUUGAGGGGUACUUGCCCCUUCCCCAGAAAAGCGGGACUUGCGGCUAAGGGUGAAGGACCAAGGCUGGCAUCCCUGUGUGGUCUGACACCCUUGAAACGUGAGUGUAUAAUCAGAGAGCAAUCCCUGCAGUGAUUAAACACCAAGGGAAGGCUGCCUUCCCAGUCCGUGACCGGCGCCGGAGUUUUGGGUCCACGGAUAAAACGUGUCUCCUUUGUCUCUACCAAAGGAAUUGAAAGGAAUUGAAAUUAAGAGAAGGGAGAGAUUGAAGUGUGGCGUCAAGAUUGAAAGGAGAAAGAGGUUGAGGGAUAGUGAGGAAGGUUGGAGAAGGGAGUAAAAAGAGGCCGCUUACCGGAUUUGAAAUUGGUGAGAUGUUUCUUGGGCUGGUUGGUCUGAGGACCUGAGGUCGUAUGUGGAUCUUUCUCGAGGUCGUAUGUGGAUCUUUCUCAUGGAGCAAAGAACAGGAGGACAGGGGAUUGAUCUCCCAAGGGAGGUCCCCCGAUCCGAGUCAAGGCACCAAAUUUCAUGCGUGUCCGUGUGAGGAGACCACCAAACAGGCUUUGUGUAAGCAACAUGGCUGUUUAUUUCACCUGGGU